rnacentral:misc_RNA from 1 species
AUGGUACAUUUUUCCAACAUUCUUAAAGCCGCUGCUUUUCGCACUGUCAUAAUCGGAGCACCAGGGUCGGGCAAAGGCACGGUGUCGUCUAGGAUUGUUAAGACUUUUGGGGUUAGUCACAUAUCUACUGGAGACAAACUUAGGGACCACGUGACACGUGCUACUGACUUAGGUAAACAAGCCUCCAAGUUUAUGAAUGAAGGAAGUCUGGUACCUAAUGAAUUAAUUAUCGAUCUUGUUGCGCAUGAAAUUAGUGCUAUCAAUGGUGCUAAUUAUUUAUUAGAUGGAUUUCCAAGGACAAUAGAACAAGCAAAAAAAUUACAAGAAAAAUUUCCAGUUAAUUUAGUAUUAAAUUUGAUAGUACCCCAUGAAGUAAUAAUUGAACGAGUACGUAAUAGAUGGGUACAUCUAUCCAGCGGACGUGUUUAUAAUAUUGGUUUUAAUGAUCCUAAAGUACCGGGAAAGGAUGAUGUUACCGGAGAACCCUUGAGCCAAAGAAUCGACGACCGACCAGAAGUCGUUGCUAAAAGGCUCCAAAAUUAUGUACUGAAAACCGAGCCAGUUAUUAAUUAUUAUAAGACAUUAGGUAUCGUGGGAGAUUUCAAAGGAAACACCACUAACGAAAUUUGGCCUAAGAUUAAAGAACACAUUGAGAAAUUUAUCUCUUCUAAAUAAUUAAUUUUUUAUUACAAAAAAAAUAAUGUAGAUUGCUGUAUGUACAAUUACGUACCAAUUUACAGUCACUUUGUUAGGAUACUUACGGCAAUUCAUCGGCAGGAAAUUGGUCGGGACUUACAUUCGCAGUGGCCAUCAUAUCUUCGGUGACUUCAUACCCGCGUCUUAU